rnacentral:rRNA from 1 species
CGGCGGACGGGUGAGUAACACGUGGGUAACCUACCUAUAAGACUGGAAUAACUCCGGGAAACCGGGGCUAAUGCUGGAUAAUAUUUAGAACCGCAUGGUUCUAAAGUGAAAGAUGGUUUUGCUAUCACUUAUAGAUGGACCCGCGCCGUAUUAGCUAGUUGGUGGGGUAAUGGCUUACCAAGGCAACGAUACGUAGCCGACCUGAGAGGGUGAUCGGCCACACUGGAACUGAGACACGGUCCAGACUCCUACGGGAGGCAGCAGUAGGGAAUCUUCCGCAAUGGGCGAAAGCCUGACGGAGCAACGCCGCGUGAGUGAUGAAGGUCUUCGGAUCGUAAAACUCUGUUAUUAGGGAAGAACAAAUGUGUAAGUAACUGUGCACGUCUUGACGGUACCUAAUCAGAAAGCCACGGCUAACUACGUGCCAGCAGCCGCGGUAAUACGUAGGUGGCAAGCGUUAUCCGGAAUUAUUGGGCGUAAA